rnacentral:lncRNA from 1 species
CCACUACAUAUAAUAUUGCCGAGUGGGGCCGUGAUGCCACUACAUAUAAUAUUGCCGAGUGGGGCCGUGAUGUCACUACAUAUAAUAUUGCCGAGUGGGGCCGUGAUGCCACUACAUAUAACAUUGCCGAGUAGGGCCGUGAUGCCACUACAUAUUGAAAGUUGCCGAGUGGGGCCGUGAUGCCACUACAUAUUGAAAAUUGCCGAGUGGGGCUGUGAUGCCACUACAUAUUGAAAGUUGCCGAGUGGGG